rnacentral:rRNA from 1 species
UACGAAGGGUGCUAGCGUUGUUCGGAAUCACUGGGCGUAAAGCGCGCGUAGGCGGCUAUGCAAGUCAGAGGUGAAAUACCCAGGCUCAACCUGGGAACUGCCUUUGAAACUGCAUAGCUAGAGUACUGGAGGGGUUGGCGGAAUUGCUAAUGUAGAGGUGAAAUUCGUAGAUAUUCGGCGGAACACCAGUGGCGAAGGCGACUCACUGGCCCGAUACUGACGCUGAGGCGCGAAAGCGUGGGGAGCAAACAGG